AGGCAGCAGUGGGGAAUAUUGCACAAUGGGCGCAAGCCUGAUGCAGCCAUGCCGCGUGUAUGAAGAAGGCCUUCGGGUUGUAAAGUACUUUCAGCGGGGAGGAAGGGGAUGUGGUUAAUAACCGCAUUCAUUGACGUUACCCGCAGAAGAAGCACCGGCUAACUACGUGCCAGCAGCCGCGGUAAU
rnacentral:rRNA from 1 species